UCCGUGAUUGUCCAGCCGGCACCGAUCGAGAAGGAGACGGAGGGGCUGCCUUCCCCGCUCGAUUCGUGGCGUGGGGGUCGCCGUGCGCGCCGACCGGGUUGUAACGCCGCCCGUCCAUCCUCCGCGGGAGACGUCUCCCUAUUCUGGUGUGGUGCUCCAAUCUCUGUGAUGGACUACGUACGCUCCAGGAAGAGAAAGGGCUCGAGCUCGGAGCUGGACGUCGCGAGGAGCAUCGAGCUGCUCAUCCUCGAGGCCUCCUUGCUGGGGGUCUACACCGGCCAGCUGGUGAUCAUCCUCUGGGCCUCCUUCCGCGCCCCCUUCCAGAAGUUGAAGUUGAUAUUCUAGGACGCACCGGCGAACGAUGUAGAUUGCGCCACUGAAGAACAAUCUUGGAGUACAUACGUUUCUGCUGUUAAUAAUCUGUGUAGGAUGCUUGUUUACCAUCCAAAACAGCCGCAAAGGAGUUCUGCUAUGCUGCUAGGGACGCCUUGCUCAUGUAUAAGGCUAUUGUGCGAGUUCAGUUGGACUGAAAUUCAGGGCAGGAAUAACCAUGCCUUGUGGAUCUGCUGCUGCUAGCCCUGCAGUUUUUGCUUGCUUAUCCGAUCUCCUUCCGAGAUCGAACCUCCGUGAUUGUCCGGCCGGCACCGAUCGAGAAGGAGACGGAGGGGCUGCCUUCCCCGCUCGAUUCGUGGCGUGGGGGUCGCCGUGCGCGCCGACCGGGUUGUAACGCCGCUCGUCCAUCCUCCGCGGGAGACGUCUCCCUAUUCUGGUGUGGUGCUCCAAUCUCUGUGAUGGACUACGUACGCUCCAGGAAGAGAAAGGGCUCGAGCUCGGAGCUGGACGUCGCGAGGAGCAUCGAGCUGCUCAUCCUCGAGGCCUCCUUGCUGGGGGUCUACACCGGCCAGCUGGUGAUCAUCCUCUGGGCCUCCUUCCGCGCCCCCUUCCAGAAGUUGAAGUUGAUAUUCUAGGACGCACCGGCGAACGAUGUAGAUUGCGCCACUGAAGAACAAUCUUGGAGUACAUACGUUUCUGCUGUUAAUAAUCUGUGUAGGAUGCUUGUUUACCAUCCAAAACAGCCGCAAAGGAGUUCUGCUAUGCUGCUAGGGACGCCUUGCUCAUGUAUAAGGCUAUUGUGCGAGUUCAGGAACCUGGAGGUGCCCCUGGGACGGCGAGGCAAUGGAUAAGCAGGAUCAAGGGGGAGGUGACGGCGUGACGCGCCGGCCUUCUCCCCUGGCUGGCACUGUGCUCCUGGUGGGUGGGGGGCGGCGUUCUGCUGCUGCUGAUGGCCUGCUGGUUGGGGCGGCAAUGAAGAAGCGGGCGAGGUGGCGCUGGCGAUCAAGGGAUGCGAGGAAGAAGCGGGGAGGUGCCGAACUGCCGGGCGAGCUCCUGGAGGUGCCUGAGCAAGGGGCCAGCAGCCGGCGGGGGAGACGCGGGGGGAAGUCGCGGUCAGAGGAAGAAAAAUGAAGUGGCCCGGGUCGAUGGAUUUUGCUUCUAUACUGAAUUUAACUGAUGCUGUUAACUGAAGUUUGGUCUUGGUUUGCGUUGUAUAUAUAUUGCUGAUUCGUUUC